ACUACUUUUCAUAAGCAAGCAAGCAUAAGAAGAAUGGUAUGACUUAACGAAUAUUUGAACUUUAUAACAUCUGAAAGAAAAUUCAGAUAAGCAACAAUUUCCUCUAUACAAUUUCCAAUUCCCUCUUGUGAUUUAUGUCCAUAGUUCAGGUUGUGCUUCUCUCCCAAAGCAUCUGAAAAGAUGGGAACAUAUUAUUACGCAUAGGUUGUGCUUCUCUCCCAAAGCAAAAGAUGGAAAACAUAUUAUUGCGCAUAAACAUAAGAAUGUACAGAAAAAAAAAAACAGAAAGCAAGCAUCUAGUUUAUCUCUUUCAUAGCACAGAGAUCUCAAAGCUUCCAUAAUUUUUUUUCCGGUUUUGUAAAAAUAUUGAACUUACAUCUAUAUCAGUAACUGAUGCUCUCAGCUAUGCUGCUUUCUGUUCUUUGAUACUAGCAUAAAGACUCUCAACAAGGUGAAGCAAAAAUCUAUCUGCACCAUGUCUGGC
rnacentral:lncRNA from 1 species